AAUAGUAUAGCUCAAAUCGUUGUACUCUUUUCAAGCCUGGUAAGGCAAAAAAAAAUAUGUGGGUUUCCGAUUUCUUCUUAUAAAAACUUAGGUAGGGUCACUGAGCUGUAUUAUACAGCUCAGUGGGUAGGGUAGGUCGGUUUUUACUUUUUUUUAAACUUUUUUUUUAAUUUUCCGAAUAAGCGAACGCCAUUUUGUUUAGUCAGUGCUUCCACAUCCAAAG
rnacentral:lncRNA from 1 species